CUGGAAAGCAGUGAUCUCAAGAACAGGGACUUUGCUUUAAACUUAAUGCUGCUAUAUGCUAAUAGUGUGGGUGUAUUUGCUUUAUACAAAUUCUUAAAGAUGAAAUCGCAGGAAGAAAGUUUAUCAAGAAAAGAAAAAAAA